rnacentral:rRNA from 1 species
AACGAACGCUGGCGGCAGGCUUAACACAUGCAAGUCGAACGCACCUUUCGGGGUGAGUGGCCGACGGGUGAGUAACGCGUGGGAAUCUACCCUUCUCUACGGGAUAGCUCCGGGAAACUGGAAUUAAUACCGUAUACGUCCUGAGGGAGAAAGAUUUAUCGGGGAAGGAUGAGCCCGCGUUGGAUUAGCUAGUUGGUGGGGUAAAGGCCUACCAAGGCGACGAUCCAUAGCUGGUCUAAGGGGAUGAUCAGCCGCAUUGGGACUGAGACACGGCCCAAACUCCUACGGGAGGCAGCAGUGGGGAAUAUUGGACAAUGGGCGCAAGCCUGAUCCAGCCAUGCCGCGUGAGUGAUGAAGGCCCUAGGGUUGUAAAGCUCUUUCAGUGGGGACGAUAAUGACGGUACCCACAGAAGAAGCCCCGGCUAACUUCGUG